rnacentral:rRNA from 1 species
UACGUAGGGUGCAAGCGUUGUCCGGAAUUAUUGGGCGUAAAGAGCUCGUAGGCGGUCUGUCGCGUCGGAUGUGAAAACCCAGGGCUCAACCCUGGGCCUGCAUUCGAUACGGGCAGACUAGAGUUCGGUAGGGGAGACUGGAAUUCCUGGUGUAGCGGUGAAAUGCGCAGAUAUCAGGAGGAACACCGGUGGCGAAGGCGGGUCUCUGGGCCGAAACUGACGCUGAGGGGCGAAAGCGUGGGGAGCAAACAGG